rnacentral:rRNA from 1 species
CGAGGGGUGCAAGCGUUGCUCGGAAUUAUUGGGCGUAAAGGGUAGGUAGGUGGUCUCAUUUGUCUUAUGUGAAAGCCUUGGGCUUAACCCAAGAAGUGCGUAAGAAACGGUGAGACUCGAGUCCUGGAGAGGUAAGUGGAAUUCCCGGUGUAGCGGUGAAAUGCGUAGAGAUCGGGAGGAACACCAGAGGCGAAGGCGGCUUACUGGACAGGUACUGACACUCAACUACGAAAGCGUGGGGAGCAAACAGGAUUAGAUACCCUGGUAGUCCACGCUGUAAACGAUGGGUACUAGGCUUGGCGGGUCUUGACCCCUGCCGAGCCGGAGCUAACGCAAUAAGUACCCCGCCUGGGAAGUACGGUCGCAAGACUA